rnacentral:rRNA from 1 species
AGUGAACGCUGGCGGUAGGCCUAACACAUGCAAGUCGAACGGCAGCACAGUAAGAGCUUGCUCUUACGGGUGGCGAGUGGCGGACGGGUGAGGAAUACAUCGGAAUCUACUUUUUCGUGGGGGAUAACGUAGGGAAACUUACGCUAAUACCGCAUACGACCUACGGGUGAAAGCAGGGGAUCUUCGGACCUUGCGCGAUUGAAUGAGCCGAUGUCGGAUUAGCUUGUUGGCGGGGUAAAGGCCCACCAAGGCGACGACCCGUAGCUGGUCUGAGAGGAUGAUCAGCCACACUGGAACUGAGACACGGUCCAGACUCCUACGGGAGGCAGCAGUGGGGAAUAUUGGACAAUGGGCGCAAGCCUGAUCCAGCCAUACCGCGUGGGUGAAGAAGGCCUUCGAGUUGUAAAGCCCUUUUGUUGGGAAAGAAAAGCAGCAGGUUAAUACCCCGCUGUUCUGACGGUACCCAAAGAAUAAGCACCGGCUAACUUCGU